rnacentral:rRNA from 1 species
UACGUAGGUGGCAAGCGUUGUCCGGAAUCAUUGGGCGUAAAGCGCGCGUAGGUGGCCUCAUAAGUCCGCUGUGAAAGUCAAAGGCUCAACCUUUGAAAGCCGGUGGAUACUGUGGGGCUAGAGUACGGAAGAGGCGAGUGGAAUUCCUGGUGUAGCGGUGGAAUGCGCAGAUAUCAGGAGGAACACCAAUAGCGAAGGCAGCUCGCUGGGACGUUACUGACACUGAGGCGCGAAAGCGUGGGGAGCGAACAGG